GAGGGUAUAGCUCAGUGGUAGAGCUCAUGCUUAGCAUGCACGGUCUUGGGUUCAAUCCCCAGGACCUCCA
rnacentral:tRNA from 1 species